rnacentral:rRNA from 1 species
UACGAAGGGGGCUAGCGUUGCUCGGAAUCACUGGGCGUAAAGCGCACGUAGGCGGAUUGUUAAGUCAGGGGUGAAAUCCUGGAGCUCAACUCCAGAACUGCCUUUGAUACUGGCGACCUUGAGUCCGGGAGAGGUGAGUGGAACUGCGAGUGUAGAGGUGAAAUUCGUAGAUAUUCGCAAGAACACCAGUGGCGAAGGCGGCUCACUGGCCCGGUACUGACGCUGAGGUGCGAAAGCGUGGGGAGCAAACAGGAUAGAAACC